rnacentral:rRNA from 1 species
ACUGCUCAGUAACACGUGGAUAACCUACCCAAGAGUCCGGGAUAACCCCGGGAAACUGGGGAUAAUACCGGAUAGGUCAGACUUGCUGGAAGGCUGUUUGGCUGAAACUUCCGGGGCUUUUGGAUGGGUCUGCGGCUGAUUAGGUUGUUGCCGGUGUAACGUACCGUCAAGCCUGUAAUCAGUACGGGUUGUGGGAGCAAGAGCCCGGAGAUGGAUUCUGAGACACGAAUCCAGGCCCUACGGGGCGCAGCAGGCGCGAAAACUCUACAAUGCAGGCAACUGCGAUAGGGGAACAUCGAGUGAUCCUCAUAUUGGGGGUCUGUCCACCCGCCUAAAAAGCGGGUGUUAGCAAGGGCCGGGCAAGACCGGUGCCAGCCGCCGCGGUAAUACCGGCGGCUCGAGUGGUGGCCGAUAUUAUUGAGUCUAAAGGGUCCGUAGCCGGCUUUGCAAGUCUCUCGGGAAAUCCAGCGGCUUAACCGUUGGUCGUCCGGGGGGUACUACAUUGCUUGGGACUGGGAGAGGUAGGAGGUACUCAGGGGGUAGGAGUGAAAUCCUGUAAUCCUUUGGGGACCACCGGUGGCGAAGGCGUCCUACCAGAACAGGUCCGACGGUGAGGGACGAAAGCUAGGGGCACGAACCGGAUUAGAUACCCGGGUAGUCCUAGCCGUAAACGAUGCUCGCUAGGUGUCACAACAGUCGUGAACUGUUGUGGUGCCGUAGGGAGGCCGUGAAGCGAGCCACUUGGGAAGUACGACCGCAAGGUUGAAACUUAAAGGAAUUGGCGGGGGAGCAC